CGCUCUGUGGUGUAAUGCGUAGCACAUUCACCCGGCAAGAUGAGAGAUCCCGGGUUCGACUCCCGGCGGAGCAA
rnacentral:tRNA from 1 species